GGCCGUAUGGCGCAAUGGAAGCGCGUUGGACUUCGAAUCCAAAGGUUUCAGUUUCGAGUACUGAUACGGUCG